AGGCUGAGAACUCGGUGUUUAGUGCUUCAGUCGGCAUGGAAAUUCUCUGCUCGUUCUUCUGACGCAACUCUUCAGCGGCGGUUACCGCAGCAUCCCUCUCUUGUUGGAGCUUCACUUUGUCUGCUUGGAGCACUUCGAUAAGGGUCUUCGAAAGCAGAACCAGUUACCUUGUGAAGAGCUGAAAACAACUCAUGGUCGGCUUUUCGGCGCUUGGUUGAUUCCUCAAAUGCUUCUUUCUUGGAUUCUUGAGAUUCGCGGAGAGCCUCUUCAAGUCUAGCAUACAUUUCUGCAUCAACACCUGAACUCUCCUGUGUGCAGCAAAGAACUUCAGUUAUCUAUUGCAUUUCAUUAGCUCAUGAGAAGGAGAUGAAAGGCGGUCAUCAUCAGAUUCAUUCAAUGGAUGCUGCAUUGCUGAUUCAGAGACACUGGUUGCAUCACCAUUUCUCGAUAAAUUGUACCAGGAGCUUUCCGAUCUCCUCCCAAAAUCAUCCCAGGAAUCUAGAGAACUCAUCGGUGUUCUUGGUGGCCUGCUGUUUGCAUUGAGUUUGAAAGGUUCAAAUAGCCUAGAUGGUGUACUGCCAGCUGCCCGAGAGGUAUGACGUGGCACUGCUGUUACCGAUCUGUUCAGUCCCUGCUUGGGACUUCCGUUUGAGCUUGAUGCUUCACUCUCUGUGUGGUGAAUUGUUAAUGAUCUCAUAUGGCUGGAAAUGCUGUUCUCGGACAAUGUUGAUGCAACCGUGGGUGCAGGUGAUGGUGGUACCGCAGGAACAGUUGUGUUUGCUUCCCUACAGUGUUGAGCCAUCGACAGCAGCGAUGCUAGAUGAACAAAUGGUGAUGCUUUUGAAGUUUUCAUAGGGGUGUGAACUGUGCUGCCUUGAACUCAAACAUUGCCGGUGAGGAAGGUGAAAAAUGCAAAAUAUCAGCUACUGGAGAGUGAAGUGGAGACUGACCAGAGUAAUCAGGUAGAUGAUUGAAUAGAUCGCGUAUAAACUCAACCAUAGACCCAAGGUUUGGGGCCAAGGUUCUUCCUCUUAUUCAGGAUUUUCGAUUGGACUUGGACGUGAGCAUCGGACAUGCAUGUCAUAUCUGUGGCGCGCGUCGUGUGCAGAACGAGAUCCAGCUUAGCCGAGUUGUGUGACCAGUGAAAGGAGCGGGUAAACUAGAUCUAGCUAGCCGUUUAUCCUGACGGAGGAUUCUCGUUCAUGCGUAUAUGUUCCAAUUUAAUUUGGGAUGAUGCAACCAAGCAAUAGCUCAGCUAGAGUGUGUGCACUUUAGUCUUCCUUCUCUUCAGGUCUCGCUCCAGGAGAGUGGUGCAGAGCCCCUCGUGUGUGUCCAUUUCGUGAUUUUGUACUACAUUCAUGGUCUUUUUUAAGUAAGUAACAAUUUUUCUAUGCUUUGGGCUUUGGCUAAGUCGCCGGGCGCCAAAAAAAUAAAAAGAAGAAGAAAAACAAGGAGAGGGUGUUCCUAUUCUAAUGCCUCAUUUGGAACAAAGGAAUCUCAGAUGCCCUUUGGAUUGUAGGGUUGGCUUUGAGAGUUCCAGUCCGGCCUUUCCUGUCCUUUCCUUCGUGUUUGAUGAUUCUAAACAUUUGUUCAAACCUCGUGUUUUCACUUCAUCUGAGAAGUCCA